rnacentral:rRNA from 1 species
GUUUGUCCUGGCUCAGGAUGAACGCUGGCGGUCUGCUUAACACAUGCAAGUCGAACGGAAUUCUUCGGGAUUUAGUGGCGGACGGGUGAGUAACGCGUGAGAAUCUGCCCUUAGGUUGGGGACAACAGUUGGAAACGANUGCUAAUACCCAAUGUGCCGAGAGGUGAAAGGUUAACUGCCUGGGGAUGAGCUCGCGUCUGAUUAGCUAGUUGGAGUGGUAACGGCACACCAAGGCGACGAUCAGUAGCUGGUCUGAGAGGAUGAUCAGCCACACUGGGACUGAGACACGGCCCAGACUCCUACGGGAGGCAGCAGUGGGGAAUUUCCCGCAAUGGGCGAAAGCCUGACGGAGCAAGACCGCGUGAGGGAGGAAGGCCUAUUGGUUGUAAACCUCUUUUGAUAGGGAAGAACACAAUGACGGUACCUAUCGAAUCAGCAUCGGCUAACUCCGUGCCAGCAGCCGCGGUAAUACGGAGGAUGCAAGCGUUAUCCGGAUUUAUUGGGCGUAAAGCGUCCGUAGGUGGCAAACCAAGUCAGUUGUUAAAGCGUAGAGCUUAACUCUAUAAGGGCAAUUGAAACUGGUUAGCUAGAGUGCGAUAGGGGCAAGGGGAAUUCCCAGUGUAGCGGUGAAAUGCGUAGAUAUUGGGAAGAACAUCGGUGGCGAAGGCGCCUUGCUGGGUCUGCACUGACACUGAGGGACGAAAGCUAGGGGAGCGAAAGGGAUUAGAUACCCCUGUAGUCCUAG